rnacentral:rRNA from 1 species
GGGCACGCGGUGAAUGCCUAGGACGAUGGGAGGCGAUGAAGGACGUGGACAGCUGCGAUAAGCUGCGGGGAGCCGCUCACAGGCCGUGAUCCGCAGAUUUCCGAAUAGGGCAACCUACCCGACGCGAGAGCGACGGGAACACUCUGGCUGAAUACAUAGGCUAGAGCGAGCCAACCCGGGGAAGUGAAACAUCUCAGUACCCGGAGGAAAAGAAAACAACAGUGAUUCUCCUAGUAGCGGCGAGCGAACGGGGACGAAGGCCAAACCCGAAGUAGUGAUACUACGGGGGUUGUAGGGUCGGCGAUGUGGCAUUCUGAUCGAGAGUCGAACCGCUUGGAACGGCGGGCCAUAGAGGGUGACAGCCCCCGUAGUCGAAUCGAGAGGGAGCCUAGCUGAUACCUGAGUACCGCAGGACACGUGCAAUCCGGCGGGAAUCUGGCGGGACCAUCCGCCAAGCCUGAAUACUACCCAUCGACCGAUAGUGAACAAGUACCGUGAGGGAAA